AUGCUAAAAGCUGGCACUAUCACCCCCAGCCUCAGCUCUUUUGCUUCUCCUGUCUUGUUGGUUAAAAAGAAAGAUGGCACUUGGCGGUUUUGUGUUGACUACAGGAAGCUAAAUUCAAUCACCAUCAAGAGCAAAUUUCCCAUGCCAGUAGUGGAUGAGCUUUUAGAUGAACUUAGUGGCAGUAAAUGGUUUUCCAAAAUAGAUCUCAGGUCAGGAUAUCAUCAGAUCAGAAUGUUACCAGAGGAUGAACACAAGACAACUUUCAAAACUCACAGUGGACACUAUCAAUUUAGGGUGAUGCCCUUUGGACUUACCAAUGCCCCCUCUACCUUUCAAUGCAUCAUGAACUGGAUUUUUGCUGCUUAUGAUAGGAAGUUUGUGAUUGUAUUUAGGGAUGACAUUUUGAUCUUUAGUGAGACCCUUGAGGAACAUCUGGAACAUCUUAGAAUUGUAUUCUAG
rnacentral:rRNA from 1 species